rnacentral:lncRNA from 1 species
GCUGUCUUACUUUAUUCAAAUGCCUAUGCAGGAAAUCUCCACUGAAGUGGCUGACGUAUUGUUACAAUAUUUUUUUCCCAUUGCCCAUCUUAUUUAAUGUUCUUAAGUAGUCCCUUUUACCAGUAUGUGCAAAGGAAAAGCUCUACAGCACUGCUACGGUCAUCCAAUUAAUGUCUGAUUCCUUAACUUCAAAUUCAACAAUGAUAAUGGUUCUUCUGAGCCAGAAAAAUAGUGGAUGGGGCCGUGUGUUUUUCACUUUCCUUGUAAUUAACGUAUCAGAAAAGGGGGACAAUAUUCUCCUAAGAAUAUACUUUUCUCUCUGUGUAUCUCAACUGAUAUAAGACAAUUUUUUACAUACCUUUAAACAGAAUAGUGAUGAUUCUAAGGGAGAAUAAACAGCCAUCACACCAGAGGGAAAGACAACGGCUUUUUUCUUCUCUCUACUAUCUUGAUAUGAUACACCUGAUUUUGUUUUAAAAAGAAAACUAUGCAUCUGGAUAUAAGACAUCAUGUUUGUGAGACCAAUUUAAGUCAGAAGAAAAUAAAGGAACUGACUGAAUGAGAAAAACUGAUGUAGGACUUAUUCCAUUUCGGUUCCUACAGACAGGAGAGGAAGUGCUACAAUGUUGGCUGAGCUGAAUAUGUCCAUCUGCACAGGAGUCUCUGGUCUAGCUGAAGAAGACCUGUGGGCCAGACGAGUAAUCAAAACCUUUUGGUGGAUUGCCCAGUUCACCUCACUCAGCCAAGAUGUACUCCUUUACAUCCAAGGCAUCAGGCCAAGGUCAUUUUCUGGUGUUUUUAGUGGCUGACAUCAACAGCAUUACUGAGAGACCUUGUGGGAGAGAAUGGGGUCCCUGGAGUUCACCAGUAGGCAAAAGCCCAAAGAAGGUGUUUUCCUCAUUUGGGGAAAAGAAGUGAAGAGUCUCAUAGAAACCCUCUUUUUUGCUCCUGACCCAAAUCAGAAAGUGCUCCUGCAGCCUGAAGUGCCCUGUAAAUGACCUGAAGCAAGUCAUUUAAUCCAUCUGUCCCUUGUUUCCACAUCCGUAAAAUGGAGAUAAUCCUUCUCUUCUUCUCCAGGCAGUUUGGAAGAUAAAUUCAUUAAUUCUUGGGAGUUGCUCAGUGCUU